UCGAGCAGUUAAGACCAAAUUGACAGCCAGACAGCGACAGCCUGUCAUCGAGUUGCACAGCAGCAUUUUCCCGUCGCAGUCCGCGAGCGAGUUCUGAAUUUUUUCCGGGAAGUUUGUAACCCGUAAAUCGUCGUCCUUCCUUCCGCAACCAUCAUGAGGAUUCCGCUGGGACCGAAACAAGCCGAACAGGCCACCAAAUGGAUCUCUUCCGCCAUGGGCUUUGGAGGCGCCGCUGGCCUUGUUGGUCUGUACCUGACCGACUGGAGAGUGAUCGUUACCUACAUCCCAUUCUACGGGGGCAAAUUCAAGGAAGACUAAGCGAGUGAGUGAAGUCUUCGUUUAGGGACAGAUUUUCGAGUACCAGUUGUGGGUCAAAACCCUAUGUGGUUCAUUUGCGGUUAAGAUAUUUGAUUUAUUUUCGAAAACAAUACAAUACCAUCUAAUAAUGUAGGACAACA